AAAGUUGUCCAAAAGGUAUCUAUCGGUAGCGCUGUUUCUGCCUUUUGUUGUAGUCCAAAAGAUGUCAUUAGGUAGAUAUCAUGAUGUAGUGGCGUUAUUGAUGUCAUUAAAACGAUGUAGGAAAGUUAUAAUUUUUACGACAUCUUCUUGAUUAUGGAAAUAUCUAGAAGUCGAGAUUUUAUUGCGCCGCACGUAUUAGCACGUAUUUUAUUCCAAAGCGACAAAUUGUUUGACAAAAAGUGCGUAAAUAUAUAAGUGUAAUUAAUACACGUGUUAUACCGAGUUAUACACGCAGUAAUAAAUAAUAUAAAUAAAGUAUUUUCUCUACAUCUGGAAAAAGUUAUUAUGCCAUGGGACCUCCGUUGAGACGGUGGAAACCGUUCCUUUAGCUCUCGCGAAGACAGCAUCAAAGGCGACGAAUCCGCACCCUUGUGCAAGCGGAUCUCGAUUAUUUAGCAAAUGCUGCGUCUAGUCCUUCAUGCUCACCGCCAACAGCUCGUGCUUCUAAUAUUCCCAAUGACGUUUGUCAUCAAAUUGAUGAUUUCUUUGAUAAUCUUGAACGCUUUGAUGACGCAGGUGAUCUCAAUUUACUAAUCAAUGAAAGACCGACACUGACUAAUACAGAUAUCCAGAUGGAGAAUCAGUCUCAAUCGAUUCCCUUAUAAAAAUUUUUCACCGUUUUUGGACCGCGAGAACGGUCAGUUUGAGUAGUAAAAACGUGCAUUUGGCAAUGAGUACGACCCGUUUUUGGGGCGCAAAGGGGCCUUUUUGCUUAAAAACGAGUGGUUAAAGCGGAUUGUGUACGAUUGCAUACUCGCGUAUACUCAUCAUGUAGACUGCGCGUGUUUGAGAGUGCAAGAAACGGACAUAAAAAUGAUAAAACAGGCUAAAAACGGGCUAAAAACGAUCUAUGUGAGGUGUAAAAGCGGUGAAAUAUUUUUGUAAGGGUUAUCACUCGUCCCACUAGUAUAACUGAUCUUCAAAAUUUUCUUGCUCAUUGGGCAAUCCAAAACAAAAUACCUCAAUCCCUUGUGAACGAUCUUUUGAGAGGGUUAAAGAAAUUUGGUCAUCCUGAGCUUCCGUUUGAUGU